rnacentral:rRNA from 1 species
AGCAGCCGCGGUAAUUCCAGCUCCAAUAGCGUAUAUUAAAGUUGUUGCAGUUAAAAAGCUCGUAGUUGAAUUUCGGGGUAAGUAGGUCGGUCGUGCCACAGGUAUGUACUGGUCUCGCUGGUUCCUCCUUCCUGAUGAACCGUAAUGCCAUUAAUUUGGUGUUGCGGGGAAACUGGACUGUUACUUUGAAAAAUUAGAGUGUUUAAAGCAGGACUAACGCUUGAAUACAUUAGCAUGGAAUAAUGAAAUAGGACGUUCGAUCCUAUUUUGUUGGUUUCUAGGAUUGACGUAAUGAUUAAUAGGGAUAGUUGGGGGCAUUAGUAUUCAAUUGUCAGAGGUGAAAUUCUUGGAUUUAUUGAAGACUAACUACUGCGAAAGCAUUUGCCAAGGAUGUUUUCAUUAAUCAAGAACGAAAGUUAGGGGAUCGAAGACGAUCAGAUACCGUCGUAG